AUUGAACGCUGGCGGCAGGCUUAACACAUGCAAGUCGAGCGGGGAAAGGUAGCUUGCUACCUGACCUAGCGGCGGACGGGUGAGUAAUGCUUAGGAAUCUGCCUAUUAGUGGGGGACAACAUUCCGAAAGGAAUGCUAAUACCGCAUACGCCCUACGGGGGAAAGCAGGGGAUCUUCGGACCUUGCGCUAAUAGAUGAGCCUAAGUCAGAUUAGCUAGUUGGUGGGGUAAAGGCCUACCAAGGCGACGAUCUGUAGCGGGUCUGAGAGGAUGAUCCGCCACACUGGGACUGAGACACGGCCCAGACUCUUACGGGAGGCAGCAGUGGGGAAUAUUGGACAAUGGGCGAAAGCCUGAUCCAGCCAUGCCGCGUGUGUGAAGAAGGCCUUUUGGUUGUAAAGCACUUUAAGCGAGGAGGAGGCUACUUAGAUUAAUACUCUAGGAUAGUGGACGUUACUCGCAGAAUAAGCACCGGCUAACUCUGUGCCAGCAGCCGCGGUAAUACAGAGGGUGCGAGCGUUAAUCGGAUUUACUGGGCGUAAAGCGUGCGUAGGCGGCUUUUUAAGUCGGAUGUGAAAUCCCUGAGCUUAACUUAGGAAUUGCAUUCGAUACUGGGAAGCUAGAGUAUGGGAGAGGAUGGUAGAAUUCCAGGUGUAGCGGUGAAAUGCGUAGAGAUCUGGAGGAAUACCGAUGGCGAAGGCAGCCAUCUGGCCUAAUACUGACGCUGAGGUACGAAAGCAUGGGGAGCAAACAGGAUUAGAUACCCUGGUAGUCCAUGCCGUAAACGAUGUCUACUAGCCGUUGGGGCCUUUGAGGCUUUAGUGGCGCAGCUAACGCGAUAAGUAGACCGCCUGGGGAGUGCGGUCGCAAGACUAAAACUCAAAUGAAUUGACGGGGGCCCGCACAAGCGGUGGAGCAUGUGGUUUAAUUCGAUGCAACGCGAAGAACCUUACCUGGUCUUGACAUAGUAAGAACUUUCCAGAGAUGGAUUGGUGCCUUCGGGAACUUACAUACAGGUGCUGCAUGGCUGUCGUCAGCUCGUGUCGUGAGAUGUUGGGUUAAGUCCCGCAACGAGCGCAACCCUUUUCCUUAUUUGCCAGCGGGUUAAGCCGGGAACUUUAAGGAUACUGCCAGUGACAAACUGGAGGAAGGCGGGGACGACGUCAAGUCAUCAUGGCCCUUACGACCAGGGCUACACACGUGCUACAAUGGUCGGUACAAAGGGUUGCUACCUAGCGAUAGGAUGCUAAUCUCAAAAAGCCGAUCGUAGUCCGGAUUGGAGUCUGCAACUCGACUCCAUGAAGUCGGAAUCGCUAGUAAUCGCGGAUCAGAAUGCCGCGGUGAAUACGUUCCCGGGCCU
rnacentral:rRNA from 1 species